GUAAAAAUGUUAGGAAAACGCAGAAUGGCAGAUUCUCUUCUUCUAGUCAUGGUGGGCUCAAGCCUCCGGUAGCCUGAAGGUUUCCCAGGGUUGUGUUGUGUUUACCCCUCGUCAUGACCACAACCAAUGAUGGAGAUUCCAGUAUAUGCUAAUCCGUGUCUGUUCACGAACAGACAUUAAGGCAAGAGCCGUGUGGUUUCUGUUCUUGACUUCGACUUUGAAAAUUGCUGGCCAGGAAUGGGAAACCACUACGUGAAAGUCAAGAGCACCUGUCCAAAUAUUUACAUUGUGACCUUCAACCAAUCGGACAUCUUGUAUUGGAACUACAGGGAAUUGCGCCACGUGCCUCUGGACGGGGAAGUCGAAGUGUCAGGAAUCUGUGCAGGCGGGUAUGUCAAAGUAGGUGUGAUCUACUCCAUUUCGCCAACGAGCCAGAUGUGCUGCUAUGACCUCUUCCGAGUGUAUCACGGUGGUGAAUUGACUAUUAAGAGUGUGUCGCACGAUAAAGGCGUUGUCAAGUGGAAAUUCAAAUCCGGGACCUGGGGCGAUCUGCUGGCUAAGGGGCGAACAAUACGAGUGAAUGCUGGACUCUUACCGAAUAUAACGAUUAAUAGUUUCUCGGCGCGGCGCAGACAUGGAAGUGAAGACGCCCACUCCAUUGAAGAAAGCAGGCGACUCUGAGGGACGAACACGCUGCCGUUCCUACCGCUCUGACCUUUUGAACUCAUAUAAUUAAGCAAAUCAUAUAUACGCGUCAUUCUCAAACAGUUUUGAGAAGGGUUGUGCUCAAAAGACAAUUUACUUGGUAAACUACAGCACUGUGAUUUGCUUUGUUGUUAGGAUUCUGCUUUUUUGUGGGGAAGGGGUGGAGUAAUCUGAAUUUUUCUGUGUUUCAAUUAGGUGGCAAUUUUAGCGGGAAAAUACAGUGUCUAUGGAGAUCCUGAACCAGGAGAUAUUUGAUCACUCUUUUGAGUAAAUAAGUGAUCUCGUCCAAUUUGAACAUGAACCUAUUUUUGUUGUGCUGUCUAUCCAUGGAGAAACCUUUAACCAGGAAGCAUGCCCGUAGGCUUCACAAUUCUAAAACAAAUGAUUUUAGUUCCUAUGUAGAACAUAAACAAGAUAUUAAAAAUUUGCAAUAAAAUUUUCAUACAUAAGAAAUACAAAUAGCUAUUUGU